rnacentral:rRNA from 1 species
AACGGCCAUAGCACGCUGUAUACCGGUUCUCGUCCGAUCACCGAAGUUAAGCAACGUCGGGCCCGGUUAGUACUUGGAUGGGUGACCGCCU